rnacentral:rRNA from 1 species
UAACCUGCCCAAGAGAUCGGGAUAACACCUGGAAACAGAUGCUAAUACCGGAUAAUAACAGAUGAUGCCUAUCAACUGUUUAAAAGAUGGUUCUGCUAUCACUCUUGGAUGGACCUGCGGUGCAUUAGCUAGUUGGUAGGGUAACGGCCUACCAAGGCGAUGAUGCAUAGCCGAGUUGAGAGACUGAUCGGCCACAUUGGGACUGAGACACGGCCCAAACUCCUACGGGAGGCAGCAGCA